rnacentral:rRNA from 1 species
UACGAAGGGGGCUAGCGUUGUUCGGAAUCACUGGGCGUAAAGGGCGCGUAGGCGGCCAUUCAAGUCGGGGGUGAAAGCCUGUGGCUCAACCACAGAAUUGCCUUCGAUACUGUUUGGCUUGAGACCGGAAGAGGUAAGUGGAACUGCGAGUGUAGAGGUGAAAUUCGUAGAUAUUCGCAAGAACACCAGUGGCGAAGGCGGCUUACUGGUCCGGAUCUGACGCUGAGGCGCGAAAGCGUGGGGAGCAAACAGG